CAGAUUGAACGCUCCCUGGACUUUGAACAACUCUCGUUCUCACUUAUUGGCAUAGUUACAGCAUUCCACCAAUUACUGGCCCCCGGCGGAGGAAAGGAACCAGGGAAAGGAUUGACAGCUGCAGUUCCUUUCUAGAUCUGCUCCUGGAAUGAUGCUGUUAUGUGCUACCCCUUAGUCAUGGCUAGAGGGUGAGAGUUUUAAAAGGAACGGUGCGGUGGGGUGUUUCCUUCUGACGGAGCCUUGCAAAG